CGAACACACAUAGAUUGACAUUCUUCAAGAGUCAUGUUUGAAAAUACAUCAGCCUCAAACGGUCCUCCAAGGCGCUUAUUUUCUUCUUUGAUAAACACCGCCAAGCCGUCACACCUUCGUUCAGCUGUGAAAAAAGGAACAUGAAAUAAAUACUUUUUAUGCGUAGGCGCCGACGACGUAGACCCUCGAUAGACAAACCUAUAGAAGAAAUGGUUGAAUUUAGUUCGUGAUAUGUUUAUCAUAUUUAUAUGCAAUUUGAAGAAAAAAACUGCAUGUAUGUGAUGCACUUGGCUGCUCAAUAUAAUUAUUAUCCUAAUAAAAGGUAAUCUCUGUAUUGCACUAUUUACUUACAGAAAUAAUAUUCCAGAAAACAUUGGCGCAGAAAUAGGCAAAAGGAAAAGAAAAGGGUGCAGAAAAGAUAAUUAUUUAUUAUUAGUAAAAUCUAAGAAGAACCGACCCUCCUAAAUGCAUGGCCUUGACGAGGUCACCUCUACGGUCAUCUCUGAUGCCAAAUCUCGAUUGGUGGUCGCUGUCGGUUCAGAGGAUUCGCUAAAUGAGCUCACACAAGAGCCUUCCGUCCUGAUUGAAUAUCAGGAUAUCCGAUUGUUUUCCAGUUUUCUCAUGACCUUUGGAAUUUAAAUGUUACAAUUACUAAUAAAAAAUUGUGUUCUAAUCUAUCUGUAUAUUCUAAUCUAUCUAUGUGUAUAUGUGGGAGAAAAAUGAUACCAAUAACCAAUUUCUAAAUUAUAAAAUAUUGGAUAUUAAAUAUCUUUGGAUAACAAACUGA